CAUGUACUCGUUCCGUUCCAUAUUAAGUGUCUCGAAUUAGCUCAAAUAUGUAUGUAUCUUAAUCCAAAAAACGUCUAGAUAUUUUUGGAUUAAGAUUCAUUACAUAUAUCUAGACGUUUUUUAUCUAGACGUUUUUUGGAUUAAGAUACAUGCAUAUUUGAACUAAUUCGAGACACUUAAUAUGGGACGGAGGAGGUAUAAA
rnacentral:pre_miRNA from 1 species